GAUGAACGCUGGCGGCGUGCCUAAUACAUGCAAGUCGAGCGAACGGACGAGAAGCUUGCUUCUCUGAUGUUAGCGGCGGACGGGUGAGUAACACGUGGAUAACCUACCUAUAAGACUGGGAUAACUUCGGGAAACCGGAGCUAAUACCGGAUAAUAUUUUGAACCGCAUGGUUCAAAAGUGAAAGACGGUCUUGCUGUCACUUAUAGAUGGAUCCGCGCUGCAUUAGCUAGUUGGUAAGGUAACGGCUUACCAAGGCAACGAUGCAUAGCCGACCUGAGAGGGUGAUCGGCCACACUGGAACUGAGACACGGUCCAGACUCCUACGGGAGGCAGCAGUAGGGAAUCUUCCGCAAUGGGCGAAAGCCUGACGGAGCAACGCCGCGUGAGUGAUGAAGGUCUUCGGAUCGUAAAACUCUGUUAUUAGGGAAGAACAUAUGUGUAAGUAACUGUGCACAUCUUGACGGUACCUAAUCAGAAAGCCACGGCUAACUACGUGCCAGCAGCCGCGGUAAUACGUAGGUGGCAAGCGUUAUCCGGAAUUAUUGGGCGUAAAGCGCGCGUAGGCGGUUUUUUAAGUCUGAUGUGAAAGCCCACGGCUCAACCGUGGAGGGUCAUUGGAAACUGGAAAACUUGAGUGCAGAAGAGGAAAGUGGAAUUCCAUGUGUAGCGGUGAAAUGCGCAGAGAUAUGGAGGAACACCAGUGGCGAAGGCGACUUUCUGGUCUGUAACUGACGCUGAUGUGCGAAAGCGUGGGGAUCAAACAGGAUUAGAUACCCUGGUAGUCCACGCCGUAAACGAUGAGUGCUAAGUGUUAGGGGGUUUCCGCCCCUUAGUGCUGCAGCUAACGCAUUAAGCACUCCGCCUGGGGAGUACGACCGCAAGGUUGAAACUCAAAGGAAUUGACGGGGACCCGCACAAGCGGUGGAGCAUGUGGUUUAAUUCGAAGCAACGCGAAGAACCUUACCAAAUCUUGACAUCCUUUGACAACUCUAGAGAUAGAGCCUUCCCCUUCGGGGGACAAAGUGACAGGUGGUGCAUGGUUGUCGUCAGCUCGUGUCGUGAGAUGUUGGGUUAAGUCCCGCAACGAGCGCAACCCUUAAGCUUAGUUGCCAUCAUUAAGUUGGGCACUCUAAAUUGACUGCCGGUGACAAACCGGAGGAAGGUGGGGAUGACGUCAAAUCAUCAUGCCCCUUAUGAUUUGGGCUACACACGUGCUACAAUGGACAAUACAAAGGGCAGCGAAACCGCGAGGUCAAGCAAAUCCCAUAAAGUUGUUCUCAGUUCGGAUUGUAGUCUGCAACUCGACUACAUGAAGCUGGAAUCGCUAGUAAUCGUAGAUCAGCAUGCUACGGUGAAUACGUUCCCGGGUCU
rnacentral:rRNA from 1 species